CCUACGGGCGGCAGCAGUGGGGAAUAUUGCACAAUGGGGGAAACCCUGAUGCAGCGACGCCGCGUGAGUGAGGAAGUAUUUCGGUAUGUAAAGCUCUAUCAGCAGGGAAGAAAAUGACGGUACCUGACUAAGAAGCCCCGGCUAACUACGUGCCAGCAGCCGCGGGAAUACGUAGGGGGCAAGCGUUAUCCGGAUUUACUGGGUGUAAAGGGAGCGUAGACGGUUAAUCAAGUCAGAAGUUAAAACCCAGGGCUCAACCUUGGGACUGCGUUUGAAACUGAGUAGCUUGAGGGCAGGAGAGGGAAGCGGAAUUCCUAGUGUAGCGGUGAAAUGCGUAGAAAAUAGGAGGAACACCAGUGGCGAAGGCGGCUUACUGGACUGUAACUGACGUUGAGGCUCGAAAGCGUGGGGAGCAAACAGGAUUAGAUACCCGGGUAGUC
rnacentral:rRNA from 1 species